CUGCUUUGAAAUGAGAAAAAAACCUUUAGUCUUUUUCAAAAGUUACUCUUUAAUACUUUUCGUCUGUGGUUAUUACAAAAAUGUCAAGCAUUUAACACAGACCCAAUGAAACAGACAAAAACACAUUCAGUCGGCGGACAGAACAUCAGACACACAAACAGUAUAAUCUCCCAUUAACGCACAAAAACACUCACAAAGCCACGAACUAAAGAGGGAAAGAGUUUACAGAAUCCGUCUCUUUAUUGACUAAAGUCAUGUUCAUUUCAGUAAAGAUUUUUAAAACCUGCGCUAAGAUGAGCGGAGAGACGUAACACGAGCUGUGACGCCUCACAGGAAACAGGAAGCGGAAACAGCCUCCGCCGAAGCCAUCCACGUUAUGACGCAACUAAGAAGGCACACUUCUCCCCACACAUGACUCAUCGGCUGUUUCGUGCACCUAAAAUCCACCGUCCACAGACUCUGAACCAGAGAGGCAGUUGGAACUUCCUCCCACUGCCGGCUGGAGUGCUGCUGCUGCUUCGGGGGGUUGGUCCGAACAGGCCGGUGGUACUCAAAAGGACGGGUCUAACACCAGGC